rnacentral:rRNA from 1 species
UAAGUCAGAUGUGAAAUCCCCGGGCUCAACCUGGGAACUGCAUCCAUAACUGCCUGACUAGAGUACGGUAGAGGGUGGUGGAAUUUCCUGUGUAGCGGUGAAAUGCGUAGAUAUAGGAAGGAACACCAGUGGCGAAGGCGACUUUCUGGCCUAUAACUGACGCUGAGGCGCGAAAGCGUGGGGAGCAAACAGGAUUAGAUACCCUGGUAGUCCACGCCGUAAACGAUGGAUACUAGCUGUCCGGAACCUUGAGUUCUGGGCGGCCAAGCGAAAGUGAUAAGUAUCCCACCUGGGGAGUACGUUCGCAAGAAUGAAACUCAAAGGAAUUGACGGGGGCCCGCACAAGCGGUGGAGCAUGUGGUUUAAUUCGAUGAUACGCGAGGAACCUUACCAGGGCUUAAAUGCAUUUUGACAGGGGUAGAGAUACCUUUUCCUUCGGGCAAUUUGCAAGGUGCUGCAUGGUUGUCGUCAGCUCGUGCCGUGAGGUGUCAGGUUAAGUCCUAUAACGAGCGCAACCCCUACCGUUAGUUGCCAGCAUGUCAUGAUGGGGACUCUAACGGGACUGCCGGUGCAAACCGUGAGGAAGGUGGGGAUGACGUCAAAUCAUCACGGCCCUUACGUCCUGGGCCACACACGUGCUACAAUGGCAGGUACAGAGAGCAGCCAUGUCGCAAGGCAGAGCGAAUCUAUAAAACCUGUCACAGUUCGGAUCGGGGUCUGCAACUCGACCCCGUGAAGCUGGAAUCGCUAGUAAUCGGAUAUCAGCCAUGAUCCGGUGAAUACGUUCCCGGGCCUUGUACACACCGCCCGUCAAGCCAUGGAAGCCGGGAGUGCCUGAAGUCCGUCACCGUAAGGAGCGGCCUAGGGCAAGAUCGGUAACUAGGGCUAAGUCGAAACAAGGUAGCCGUACCGGAAGGUGCGGCUGGAUCACCU